rnacentral:rRNA from 1 species
CUGGCGGCAGGCCUAACACAUGCAAGUCGAGCGCUCACUUCGGUGGGAGCGGCGGACGGGUUAGUAACGCGUGGGAAUAUGCCCGGUACUAAGGAAUAGCCUUUGGAAACGAAGAGUAAUACCUUAUACGCCCUUCGGGGGAAAGAUUUAUCGGUAUCGGAUUAGCCCGCGUAAGAUUAGAUAGUUGGUGGGGUAAUGGCCUACCAAGUCUACGAUCUUUAGCUGGUUUUAGAGGAUGAUCAGCAACACUGGGACUGAGACACGGCCCAGACUCCUACGGGAGGCAGCAGUGGGGAAUCUUAGACAAUGGGCGCAAGCCUGAUCUAGCCAUGCCGCGUGAGUGAAGAAGGCCUUAGGGUCGUAAAACUCUUUCGCCAGAGAUGAUAAUGACAGUAUCUGGUAAAGAAACCCCGGCUAACUCCGUGCCAGCAGCCGCGGUAAUACGGAGGGGGUUAGCGUUGUUCGGAAUUACUGGGCGUAAAGCGCACGUAGGCGGACUGGAAAGUUGGGGGUGAAAUCCCGGGGCUCAACCUCGGAACUGCCUCCAAAACUAUCAGUCUAGAGUUCGAGAGAGGUGAGUGGAAUUCCAAGUGUAGAGGUGAAAUUCGUAGAUAUUUGGAGGAACACCAGUGGCGAAAGCGGCUCACUGGCUCGAUACUGACGCUGAGUGCGAAAGUGUGGGGAGCAAACAGGAUUAGAUACCCUGGUAGUCCACACCGUAACGAUGAAUGCCAGUCGUCGGCAAGUAUACUUGUCGGUGACACACCUAACGGA